AAUUAAUUGUAAUCUUGGUAACCAUGACAAUCAUGAAGUCAAUUAUUUGGCAAUAGUUGCAAUAAAUACUAAGAAUAAUAAAAUUCCUUUAUGGGCGUAGAAUUUACUUUGCUAUAUAUUUCCUAACGAGGCAUCGAGACCGAAAAUAAAGUUGAAGACAAGGCAAACAAAGGGACAGGCAGACAAGCUCAGGAUGAUUGUGUAAAUCAAUUUGUGCAAUAAAAGUUGGAUUUGUUUCAAGUCCAUGGCAUGGUUGUGGAUGCUUCUCUCUUACACCAUCAAUGAUGACAUUUUUUGUCGGAAUAGGUUUAAUGCAGGUGAAUGUUAUUGCUGAACAAGGCCUUCGAUUACCUCUGUGAAAAGAGUUUCGGCUGCUAAAAUUUCUGAUAAAAAACUUUCGAAAAUUAUAUAAAAGCUUACCUCGUUAUUGUUAAGUAUAAAAGAAUUACGAAAGUGAGGCCUUGAAAGUAUUCAAUUACAAUAACGAGACGUUGGACGCAAGUAAAAAUUUUAAUUUUAGAUUAAAUUUUGAACAUAAUAGGAGAACAUCAGCUAAAACAAUAGUUAAAAGGCAUGCAUAGCUACAAAU